rnacentral:rRNA from 1 species
UUUCACUCCUACGGGAGGCAGCAGUGGGGAAUAUUGCACAAUGGGCGCAAGCCUGAUGCAGCCAUGCCGCGUGGUAUGAAGAAGGCCUUCGGGGUUGUAAAGUACUUUCAGCAGUGAGGAAGGCAGGUACGUUAAUAGCGUGCUUGUUUGACGUUAGCUGCAGAAGAAGCACCGGCUAACUCCGUGCCAGCAGCCGCGGUAAUACGGAGGGUGCGAGCGUUAAUCGGAAGUUACUGGGCGUAAAGCGCAUGCAGGUGGUUUGUUAAGUCAGAUGUGAAAGCCCGGGGCUCAACCUCGGAAUUGCAUUGAAACUGGCAGACUAGAGUACUGUAGAGGGGGUAGAAUUUCAGGUGUAGCGGUGAAAAUGCGUAGAGAUCUGAAGGAAUACCGGUGGCGAAGGCGGCCCCCUGGACAGAUACUGACACUCAGAUGCGAAAAGCGUGGGGAGCAAACAGGAUUAGAUACCCUGGUAG